AUUGAACGCUGGCGGCAGGCCUAACACAUGCAAGUCGAACGAGUGGCGGACGGGUGAGUAAUGUCUGGGAAACUGCCUGAUGGAGGGGGAGAACUACUGGAAACGGUAGCUAAUACCACAUACCAUCAGAUGUGCCCAGAUGGGAUUAGCUAGUUGGUGGGGUAACGGCUCACCAAGGCGACGAUCCCUAGCUGGGCGGAGAGGAUGAUCAGCACCACUGGAACGUAGACACGGUCCAGACUCCUACGGGAGGCAGCAGUGGGGAAUAGUGCACAAUGGGAGCAAGCCUGAUGCAGCCAUGCCGAGUGUAUGAAGAAGGCCUGCGUGUUGUAAAGUACUUUCAGCGGGGAGGCGUUACCCGCAGAAGAAGCACCGGCUAACUCCGUGCCAGCAGCCGCGGUAAUAC
rnacentral:rRNA from 1 species